UACGUAGGGUGCAAGCGUUAAUCGGAAUUACUGGGCGUAAAGCGUGCGCAGGCGGUUCGCUAAGACAGAUGUGAAAUCCCCGGGCUUAACCUGGGAACUGCAUUUGUGACUGGCGGGCUAGAGUAUGGCAGAGGGGGGUAGAAUUCCACGUGUAGCAGUGAAAUGCGUAGAUAUCUGGAGGAACACCGGUGGCGAAGGCGGCAUCCUGGACCGGCAUUGACGCUGAGGAGCGAAAGCCAGGGGAGCAAACGGG
rnacentral:rRNA from 1 species